AUUGAACGCUGGCGGCAUGCUUUACACAUGCAAGUCGAACGGUAACAGGCCGCAAGGUGCUGACGAGUGGCGAACGGGUGAGUAAUGCAUCGGAACGUGCCCAGUCGUGGGGGACAACGCAGCGAAAGCUGCGCUAAUACCGCAUACGAUCUAUGGAUGAAAGCGGGGGACCGUAAGGCCUCGCGCGAUUGGAGCGGCCGAUGUCAGAUUAGGUAGUUGGUGGGGUAAAGGCUCACCAAGCCAACGAUCUGUAGCUGGUCUGAGAGGACGACCAGCCAAACUGGGACUGAGACACGGCCCAGGAUCCUACGGGAGGCAGCAGUGGGGAAUGUUGGACAAUGGGCGCAAGCCUGAUCCAGCAAUGCCGCGUGCAGGAAGAAGGCCUUCGGGUUGUAAACUGCUUUUGUACGGAACGAAACGGUCCUGGUUAAUACCCGGGGCUAAUGACGGUACCGUAAGAAUAAGCACCGGCUAACUACGUGCCAGCCGCCGCCGUAACAC
rnacentral:rRNA from 1 species